rnacentral:rRNA from 1 species
GACGAACGCUGGCGGCGUGCUUAACACAUGCAAGUCGAACGGAAAGGCCCGGCUUUUGUGGGGUGCUCGAGUGGCGCACGGGUGAGUAACACGUGAGUAACCUGCCCUUGACUGUGGGGUAACUUCAGGAAACUGGGGCUAAUACCGGAUAGGAGCUCCUGCUGCAUGGUGGGGGUUGGAAAGAUUCGGCGGUGGGGGAUGGACUCGCGGCUUAUCAGCUUGUUGGUGGGGUAGUGGCUUACCAAGGCUUUGACGGGUAGCCUGCAUGGGAGGGUGGCCGGCCACAUUGCGACUGAGAUACGGCCCAGACUCCUACGGGCGGCAGCAGUGGGGAAUAUUGCACAGUGGGCGGAAGCCUGAUGCAGCGACGCCGCGUGCGGGAUGACGGCCUUCGGGUUGUAAACCGCUUUCGCAUGUGACGAAGAGUUAGUGACGGUAAUGGGUAAAGAAGCACCGGCUAACUACGUG